GCGAGGUAACGGCUCACCAAGGCGAUGACGGGUAGCUGGUCUAAGCGGAUGAUCAGCCACACGGGGACUGAGACACGGCCCCGACUCCUACGGGAGGCAGCAGUGGGGAAUUUUGGACAAUGGGCGAAAGCCUGAUCCAGCGACGCCGCGUGCGGGAGGAAGCCCCUCGGGGUGUAGACCGUUGUCAGGAGGGAAGAACUGGUCCGGGUUAAUACCCUGGAUCUCUGACGGUACCUCCAGAGGAAGCGCCGGCUAACUCCGUGCCAGCAGCCGCGGUAAUACGGAGGGCGCAAGCGUUGUCCGGAAUUACUGGGCGUAAAGGGGGCGCAGGCGGCUUGGUAAGUCCUGUGUGAAAGCCCGCGGCUCAACCGCGGAAAGCCAUAGGAUGCUGCCGGGCUAGAGACGGGUAGAGGCGAGUGGAAUUCCCGGUGUAGCGGUGGAAUGCGUAGAUAUCGGGAAGAACACCAGUGGCGAAGGCGACUCGCUGGGCCCGUUCUGACGCUCAGGCCCGAAAGCGUGGGGAGCAAACAGGAUUAGAUACCCUGGUAGUCCACGCCGUAAACGAUGGGCACUAGGUGCUGGGAAGUGUGACCUUUUCGGUGCCGUAGCUAACGCGUUAAGUG
rnacentral:rRNA from 1 species